rnacentral:ncRNA from 2 species
AUUUUUGAAUCGAAUUUUGGUUCAUAUCAUGUAACGUGAUGGAUUAAAUGGGAAUUGAGUGUAAAUCUCAAACUGUUCCCGCAACUGUAAUCUUAGUUUUGCUUUGCAAAAUGCUUGUUAUUAAAACUUCAAUACACCACUGGUUUCAAUUAAAACUGGGAAGGUAAAUAACAAGACGAAAGUCAGGAGACCUGCCAAAUUCAGCAUAAAUAA